CAACCCUCAAGCCCUGCUUGGUGUUGGGGCCCUACGGCCGCCGUAGGCCCUGAAAAUUAGUGGCGGGCUCGCCAGGACCCCGAGCGCAGUAGCUUAACCUCGCUCGCGGCGUCCCGGCGCGCUCCGGCCGUGAAACACCCCCCAAACUUACAA
rnacentral:misc_RNA from 1 species